rnacentral:rRNA from 1 species
UACGUAGGGGGCUAGCGUUGUCCGGAAUCAUUGGGCGUAAAGCGCGUGUAGGCGGCCCGGUAAGUCCGCUGUGAAAGUCGGGGGCUCAACCCUCGGAUGCCGGUGGAGUACUGUCGGGCUCGAGUACGGAAGAGGCGAGUGGAAUUCCUGGUGUAGCGGUGAAAUGCGCAGAUAUCAGGAGGAACACCAAUUGCGAAGGCAGCUCGCUGGGACGUUACUGACGCUGAGACGCGAAAGCGUGGGGAGCAAACAGG